CAUCUGUGCAUUUGGUUUCACACAGACUGAAAGUCUAGAUGAUUGACUUAUUAAACCAAUGACAAAAUGGAUUUUAGAUUUGGUUAGUUUUGCUUUAAGAAGAUGCAGUCUUGGAAAGAAUUGAGGAAAUACUUCCUCAGAGGCAGAGACUUUUUGAAGUGAGGAGAUGUAAAAGAAAUUGCUUUGAGUCGUUUCAAUCUAUUUAGACAAGACCACCUGGUUUGAAUGUUUGUCCCCUCCAAAACUCAAGUUGAAGUUUAAUUCCCAUUGUGGCAGUAUUGAGGGUGGGGCCUUUAAGAGGUGAUGGGAUCAUGAGGGCUCUGCUCUGGUGAGUGGAUUAAUGGGUUAAUGGGUUACAUGGAAGUGACUGGUGGCUUUACAAGAAGAGGAAGGGAGACUUGAGCUAGCACAUUCAGCCCACUAGCCAUGUGACACCCUGUGCCACCUCGGGACGCUGAAGAGUCCCCACCAGCAGGAAGGCCCUCACCAGAUGGCGCCCCUUCUACCUUGAACUUCACAGCCUCCAUAACUGUCUAUUUCCCUCUAAUGACUGGCAGCAAAAACACAGGACAAAGGGCUUCUCUCCCAGGCAUGUGGGAUCUGCAGUGCGGAGAAGGCUGGUGAUGCCAACCAGGAGGAUGGAGAACCCCAAGGCACUUCCAGUGGUGGCCCGGAGCAUUGCUCUGGAGUAUCUGAGUACACCAGCAACUGUUGCCUUCAGAAGUGAACUCUAAGUGGACACAGACAUGUAACUUAGGAACCGUGAUGUGGGUAGUAACCUUAUAGAGUCUCACGGCGCAGGUCCAGGGUGAAUUGGUCCAACCAUGUGGGCAGAGGGCAGAGGGAAGUGUUUAACCAGCAGUGGACCAGAGUGGGUCACAUCAGCAAGGUCAGCGCAGGAGCAAAGUAGCCACUGGGACAAUAGAGGGAUAGUGAUGUCCAUGGCCCAAUACAAAGGGGUGGGAGAGCAUGCACGUUGCUUUCUGUAGCACAUAAGGGCACAGUCAUUUCUCCUAACCCUGGGACACUAGGUCUACUCCUUGAUUCUUCUCAGGAUUGCCAGGUAGGAGAGGCAUGUGUGAGAGAGGAGGGAGCAGAAAAGAAAAUGAACCAGGCAGAGAUGACAUACAAGGCAUAUUCAAUGAGAUUGCCAAGGAGAAAGAAAUAGAUCCCCCUUCCUUUGACAUAAUUUUCAAAUAAUCAUUAUUAUCCAAGACCAUUUCCCCCUUGGGGAUGUUAAGGAGGAAGUAAAGCCACCAGCCCAGUGCUUGAGUCCAUACUUGUGGAUACCCCCUUGAGACACUGGGUGUGUGUUUAGAGGGGGGGCUGCAGUUUCGAGUUAGGUAGGUGGGUUCUAAUGAGCUAAUGAACUUUGGUUCAAAUUGUUAAAGGAAACUGAUGGCUGUUCCCCAAAGUUAAGAAGGCCUGGGUGAUGCUUCUCAGAGUUUAAUGUACCUAAGAGUCACUUGAAGCUUCUGAGUCAGUGGGUGUGGACCGGAGCCUAAAAUUCUACAUUUCUAACAAGCUCUAGGUGCUGCUGUGAUGCUAGUCCACAGACUACCAAAGUAGCAAGGAACUGGGGAACAUUCAGAUGACACUGUAAACGUGGUUUUGCACUCUGUGAUUUUUUUCUCCCUUAACCUCUUGAAAUGCUUUUAUAUAACACCUUACAUGAGCGUAUCCCUCUGAAUAACUGUAUAAUAUUUAGUUGCUUGAAUGUGUAGUGAUUUAUUUGAUCAUUUAUCUUUUGUUUGAAAUUGAAUGUGCUUCCUGUUUUUAGCUGUCAUAAAUGAUGCUGCCAUGAGCAUCCCUGUUCAUAAGUCUGUCUGCUUCUCCGCACCAAAACCUGCAACCAUGUCAGAGCAUUCCAUUAGGACUCAAAAAAACUUAAGAAGAAAAUUAUGUAUAAAAGAAAUUGAAAAUACUGUAUAACAACAAAUAUUGAACAAGCCUGUAAUGUCUGCAUCCAAGGCAUUUGGUGACAGGAAUUGUGCAAUAUUCAGAGAAGUAGAGAGAGUUUUUCUUUCAGUUUUGCUAUAAUGUGUACUUGGAAACUAUGCCAUAAAGUAUAAAGCUCAAAAGUGGCUGGAAUUUCUCCAUAGAAAGUAUUGUAAUUAGAGGUUGUGUCCCAAGAUUCAUAAUAAACUUUUUGAAGGCAAAAAUGCAAGGUGUGUAUUAUUGACCAUCAAAAUUACAGACUAAGUCCUAUGCAAUGGAAAUAAAAUGUACCAUAUACAUAGAAUUUUUAAAAGCUACCAUAUCAUAACUUUUCACAAAAAUUAAUAAACAAGUUAUAUUAAAUGCAAAAUAAUUAAUAUUUUGGCCUCUCUUGUUUACUGCUGUGUCCUUAGGUCCUAGCUUUCGUUAUGGUGACAUCUAGCCCAUAGGGCACCUUCGAAUAGGAAAAGGCACUCCUUCCUGAAGCACUUAACUUCCUUCCAGUUGAAACUUAUGUAUAUUGAUUAUGGUAUGACAAGACAUUGUACUGCCAUCUGCUAGAA